rnacentral:rRNA from 1 species
AGGGCACCACCAGGAGUGGAGCCUGCGGCUUAAUUUGACUCAACACGGGAAAACUCACCCGGCCCGGACACUGGAAGGAUUGACAGAUUGAGAGCUCUUUCUUGAUUCAGUGGGUGGUGGUGCAUGGCCGUUCUUAGUUGGUGGAGUGAUUUGUCUGGUUAAUUCCGAUAACGAACGAGACUCUAGCCUACUAAAUAGAUCGUCGGCUUACAAACGCCGACGAGACUUCUUAGAGGGACAGGCGGUGAUUCAACCGCACGAAACAGAGCAAUAACAGGUCUGUGAUGCCCUUAGAUGUCCGGGGCCGCACGCGCGCUACACUGAAGUGAUCAGCGUGUUUUUGUCAACCUACUCUGUCAAGAGUGGGGAACCCAAUGAACCUUCUUCGUGAUUGGGAUAGGGGAUUGUAAUUAUUCCCCUUGAACGAGGAAUUCCCAGUAAGCGCGAGUCAUAAGCUCGCGUUGAUUACGUCCCUGCCCUUUGUACACACCGCCCGUCGCUACUACCGAUUGAAUGUUU